UCCCUAGAUUACUCUUAUUACUUCAAAUCAAAUAAACCCUAAUUUUAUCCUAAGUUAUAUUUUACUCUCUCUUUACUGCUCUAUCUUUACAAUUCUCUCUAGUUUUGUAUCUCCGUAUAGCAUAGAGGAAUCUAACUUCAAAUCCUUUCCUUCUCAACAAUCGUGAAGAUACAGAAGAGAAGACUUUAACAAUCUCAUUGGUAUGCUCUUGAUUGUGUAAAGCUCAUUUAGGGUUGGAAAUUAGGCAAUGACGCUUGAUUGGAGACAAAGGACUUAAAGUGAGGAAGCACUUGAGUAAUAUUUGGAGGUAGAAAUGGCUCUUGAAUUUGCAUUCCAGAAUUCAUCAAAUGCCACUGCACCACACAUGAAGAGCAUAUAUGAUUUGCUCGGAGAAGUACCAGGACUAGGGCUUUUGAACUAGAGUGUCUAAGAACAGAUAUAGUCAAAGCAAGGGUAAAAGUAUUGUGAAGACUGUGUAGAAGCCUUUCAAGCCCCCUGGAUCCGUGAGCACUAAGAUAAAAGCUCCUUCAAAGCCACCACAUGACAAACCUACGGGAAAGAAGACUAUAAAGACGAGCGUAUAUGUUGAGAAAGGCAAGCAAAAGGUUGAGGAAUCUACAACAAAGAAGAAGGCUUGGUUGCCUCUUGGUAAUGGAGAAAGAGCACUAGAAUUGGGAAAAAAGUAGGGUCAACAUUAGGACAGCCAAGUGGGGACCAAAUUUUGUUUUACAUACUCAUUACUCAAGUUUGCUAUUGAAUCCUGUGAGAUUUACUGUUUUGUGGUGCUGGUUUUGAGGACCAAGAUGACAAGUGACCCUUUAUAGAUUUUUGUUUAGAUAGAUAUGAUUUCUUUGUGUUGUUUGGAAUAUAUUCCCUAAACAAGUGGUCCUACACUUCAUUAUUUAUAUGUGAUAACUUUUUCAUUUGCUUCCUAA